UGUUUUAAUAAGUGUUGUAAAGCUUUCAUUCAAUUGGAUGAAUACCGGUUAAUCUUGUGCCAGCUGCAGCGGUAAAGCAAGUGGUGUAAACGUUCUAUAGGUUUAUUAGGUGUAAAGAGUGAUUUGGAAUGUGAAUAGGAAUCUGUUUUUCAAAUCUCCAUCUCAUUCGAUGCAUGUUGUGUUAUUAUUCUUUGGCCCAAGUAUUAUAUCUUAAGCAUUAUGCUUCGAUGCAUCUUGAAAGGUAUUCUAGAUUUGAUGUGGUGUAGGAAUGUUAAUAGUAAUAGUGAAAUGUAUAUAGAAUUGGUAUAAAAUAAAUUGGAUAUUGGUAGCUUGAAAAGGUAGAUAUUCGAUUCACGAAAGCUUGAGGUGUGACAGGGAUUUGAGACCCCUUUAAUUCGAGACUGAAAUUAUGCAGGCAAUGUUUGUGGAUCUCUUUUUAACAAAUAAAGGUUCUUUUCCUAAGGAGUACGCUUUCACUUGUGAAACUUAAAUGUUCUGGUGGUGGUUUAGAACAAUAGUGGAAUAGAUGAUUUAAUUCGAUGAAAUGCGAUAAAGCUUAUCUGUUAUCUGAAAUAAUACCUAGGUAUAGGUAGAAUUCUAUUCGAGGUAGUGCAUGGCUGUUGGAUGUUUUGUAAUAUCUGGUUUCGGACAGGAAUAGCCGAUACACUUUUAGUUGUUAUAGGUCUUUUGCAUCUUUUCAUAUGGUCUUUUAGAUAGAAUAACGUCGAGUCAUUAUGCUCUUUAGUUCGGAGAUAUUCAUGUGUUACUAGGAGAGGUAUAUAG
rnacentral:rRNA from 1 species